rnacentral:rRNA from 1 species
CUUCGGCGGCGACCGGCAGAAGGGUGCGUAACACGUGAGCAACCUGCCCGUGACAGGGGGAUAACCGAUGGAAACGUCGCCUAACACCCCGUAACAACUUGGAGGGCAUCCUUUGAGUUUGAAAAUUCCGAUGGUCACGGAUGGGCUCGCGGGACAUUAGCUAGUUGGCGGGGUAACGGCCCACCAAGGCGACRAUGUCUAGGGGUUCUGAGAGGAAGGUCCCCCCACACUGGAACUGAGACACGGUCCAGACUCCUACGGGAGGCAGCAGUGAGGAAUAUUGGACAAUGGAGGCAACUCUGAUCCAGCCAUGCCGCGUGAAGGAUGAAGGCCCUAUGGGUCGUAAACUUCUUUUGUCGUARAGCAAUAAGGUGUACGYGUACAUCGAUGASAGUAUACKACGAAWAAGCAUCGGCUAACUCCGUGCCAGCAGCCGCGGUAAUACGGAGGAUGCAAGCGUUAUCCGGAUUUAUUGGGUUUAAAGGGUGCGUAGGCGGACGUAUAAGUCAGCGGUGAAAGGUACCGGCUCAACCGGUGAGCUGCCGUUGAAACUGUGCGACUGGAAUGCGGAUGCCGUGGGAGGAAUGUGUGGUGUAGCGGUGAAAUGCUUAGAUAUCACACAGAACACCGAUUGCGAAGGCAUCUCACGAAUCCGUUAUUGACGCUGAGGCACGAAGGCGUGGGGAUCAAACAGGAUUAGAUACCCUGGUAGUCCACGCGGUAAACGAUGAUGGCUAACUGCCGGCGAUACAGUGUCGGUGGCCAAGCGAAAGCGAUAAGCCAUCCACCUGGGGAGUACGACCGCAAGGUUGAAACUCAAAGGAAUUGACGGGGGCCCGCACAAGCGGAGGAACAUGUGGUUUAAUUCGAUGAUACGCGAGGAACCUUACCCGGGCUCGAACGGCUGAGGAAUGAAUUAGAGAU